rnacentral:miRNA from 1 species
AUCUGGGAGGGGCUGUCAGGAGU